rfam:Triticum aestivum genome assembly, contig: Triticum_aestivum_CS42_TGACv1_scaffold_320653_4BL
UGAAUAACCCCUCCGUCCGAACAUAUUUGUCAUCAAAAUGGACAAAUAAUGAUGUAUCUUGAACUAAAAUACGUCUAGAUACAUCAUUCUUUAUUCAUUUUAAUGACAGGUAUUUUCGGACGGAGGGAGUAACUA